UCUCUUUUCCUUUUUCUUUUCUUUCCUCUCUUCUCUCCCUCUCACGCAGAACCCAGCCCCUUCCCCCUCUUCCUUCUUCCUCUCUUUGUCUCUCUCCCACACUCACGCACACACAUGGACCCGAGAGAGAGUGUUGAGCCGAAAAUGGAGGGUGAGCACUGGAGACAACAAGGUUGAGAGGGAGAGCUAGAGAAUGAAAGAGAAGAAGAAGAAGAGAGAAUCCGGCCAUGGGCUUUAAGAGGAUCGUGUCAUCAUUGGAGACUUCAAUGAGUCAUUCAAUGUAGAGUUGGAGUCGUGAGUCCAAUGCAGCCAGAUGAUGUCCUUUUGGCUGCAGGUACUCGGGUCGUAGUUGAUGGGGGUCGUAGACGUGCAUUUGAGAUAUUAUGACCGAAGCUUGCAGCGAUGGUCGUAAUUGCGGGACCAUGGGUGUCCUCAGUUUUAUAGGUUUUGUUGUGGCUUGUGACGCAUGUGUCACUCGUUAUUGUAUAAAGCCAUUCUGUUAUGUAUUUAUAUUGUGGAAAGACUUAAACACAUAGAUAUUAAAUGGCUCUUGUUGUUAUUAAUUUAUGAUAGAUGUUUAAGAUU